UCGAACCUUUCUUCCCCCAAACCGUCGCGAUCCCAACCUCUCUUCUUCCCGAUCUCUCUCUGUUCUCUCUCGCGGGCAAGCGAUGGCGACGGGAGCAAGGCUACAGCUCCGGCGAUCCUUCUCCGCUGGCAUCGACGCCUAAUAAUCUCAGAUCCGGCUGGUGUUCUUUCCUCUCCUCACUGUUGCCGAUCAUUUCUCCAGCCCUAACCUCUCAGCCGAUGGCCGACCAUCGCUCUUCGCAUGAGGUCGGGUUAGCAGCGCCUGAGGUACACACGGUGCCCUAGUUGAGAUCUUGCAGUGGGUGCGAUUGAUUCCAAUCCGUGUCUCCUCAAGUUGGAUCGGAUUGGGCGACACCUCCUGGAGGCAACCGAUCGAGAGGUAUCCGGUUGGUGGACAGCAGCUGGAUUAGGGCAGUGAGGUGAGGUGCUGUUUUGGUGGAGUAUUUGCUUGAUUCCGGCCACCACAUCCCUGUCAACAAAUUGGCACAUCUGAGGCAAGUGAUUUUAUAGCUAGACCUAUUCUUGAUCCGAUCAGUAGGGAGGAAUCCAGGUUUAUUCUGUGGGUUCUUGAUCCAGCAAUUCAUCUUAUUGCUGGCAGCAAUAAUCCCUGCUGUGGAUCAACAACGAUCACGGUUGAAGUGAGGAGGAAGUUCUGUAGGGAGGUCUUGCUGUGCUAUUCUUUAAUCCAGUAGCUCAGUUUGGUUCUGGCAGCACCCCAACCAGCAGCUCCUCUUUGGCUGCGGAUCAAGAGCAGUGGUUGAAUUGAGGUUGAGGCCGUCGGGGAGAUUCCAGUCGCUAGCCCCUUUAUUGCGAGGAUUUUCCUAUUGUCGGGAUAUGUUUUUGUUUUUGGCAUCUUAUAUACUUGCGAUGUGGAACUUUUGUAUUGUGGACUUUAUGACGAACAUUUGGGUUUACUACUUUUGGUUUUCCGC